AAAGAUAAUUAUUUACUCCUCCCACAGGGCUCCAAGCUGGCAGAAGCGUGGCUCGUUAGGCGUGCGGGCCAGAGAUGCGCACACAUCGUCAAGGUCAGCCCUCAAGCAUGGGCCUCAGGAUGGUUAUUGAUGAGCCUGCUGCCCUUUCCCAUUGUGGAGCACCAUUCUCAUACACAGGCCAAGGACUUCCUGCCCAUAAAUCAGGUCCUUGUAAUAGUAAUUAAUAGAGCGACCUGCAGAGGGUGAAUUCUCCUUUUACAAGGAACCUGAGUCCACUGAAGCUGGAGUCACCUACUGAACCCCCUGUGUAGAGUUGGAAAGCCAAGGAAAGUAUGGGUUCUGCCCAUCCUCCAGGGCCCUCGUGGUUAUUUUGGAAACUGCACAGGCUGAUGGAAUCCAAGUGAAGAGCUCUGCUGGAUUUCCCCAUCAUGUGCUGUGAUCAGAGAGUGUGGGACACACGACUCCAUGGGUGCCAAAUCAGAGCAGUGUGUUUGGGUUGCAGUUUGCUCAUGUGUGCAAAUUCUAUCCUGGAGCCGAAUCCAAAGAGGAGACAACAUCAAUGCAUGAUACUGACCCUAAGAAACAGAACCCUCUUGCUGAAGGACAGCCUGCAGACACAAGGCUGAAUGUGGAAUGUGAAGAGUCUGGAAACUGGUCGACAGCGAAGGAGAGGAGCAGGGAGGUGUUGAGUGCAUGAGGACAUAAGCCGAAGCCAAUGCUGGGGUUUCUGUUCCAGUUCUGCUUCUGAAUAUCUGUGAGGUCCUGGGUGAGUCAUUUCCCCU
rnacentral:lncRNA from 1 species